rnacentral:rRNA from 1 species
UACGAAGGGGGCUAGCGUUGUUCGGGAUUACUGGGCGUAAAGCGCGCGUAGGCGGUGAUCUUUGUCAGGGGUGAAAUCCCGGGGCUCAACUCCGGAAUUGCCUUUGAAACGGGAUCGCUAGAGUCCGAGAGAGGAUGGCGGAAUUCCUAGUGUAGAGGUGAAAUUCGUAGAUAUUAGGAAGAACACCGGUGGCGAAGGCGGCCAUCUGGCUCGGUACUGACGCUCAGGCGCGAAAGCGUGGGGAGCAAACAGG